rnacentral:tRNA from 1 species
UUGCCCUUAGCUCAGGCUGGUAGAGCAGCUCGCUCAUAACGAGAAGGUCACUAGUUCAAAUCUAGUAGGGCAAACAA